rfam:Salmo salar isolate Sally breed double haploid chromosome ssa11, whole genome shotgun sequence.
UGUCUCAGUUGGUAGAGCAUGGUGUUUGCAACGCCAGGGUUGUGGGUUCGAUUCCCAC